CAGCCCUGCGUCAUGCAACACCCAUGGAGGUGCUGGGAGGGUGACCCAGCAGCGCCUUUUCUCAGAGGGUGGGAGGGCAAUUGAGCAACAUGAAAGCAAUGUGCUCAAGCGGGAAGGUGGAGCUCUGUGGCUGGAAAUGCGCUUUAUGGUAUUGAAUGACUGAUAUGUGAAACUCAUGGCUGCUGGUUAUCUGUCCCGGAGGGGUCAGCAGAAGAGCGAAGCAGGAGGCAGUGCAGCCCUAUGGGAACUCUCUGAGGCUGCUGACCCACCUCCCCCAGCCCCAGGGCGCGGUGCCGCAGCCCCUGCGGAGGGGACGGGGAGCGCUCCUCCAAUCAGCCCCUCCUGACGGCUUCCUGAUGGAUGGCACCAACCCUCCUAUGUGAGGGAAGCGUCCUCUGGAAGGGCUGCAUCGGUAAUAACUCUGUGAAGAAACGGGUAAGAGCUUUGCAGGUCCCGGCUUAGGGACCAAGUGAUUAUUAUUUUUUUUCCCAAGGAAAGACAGGAUGAAUUCUUUUCAGAUUGUUGGCUAUUUUUGGAGUGGUAAUUUGGCAUUUCAACUCAACUAGGAAAGCUGAAAGUUUAUAGAAAAGUUACGUAAUGUUUCCUAUUAUCUGCUCGGGGAGCAGCACCGUUUACAAAACUGAUGGAUUCUGUAUGUUCUGAGAUCAGACCAAGUUUUCAGAAUAAUUUAUAGUGUUUAAUAAACUGCGAACAUCGCUGCUGAAUACUGUGGUUCUUUAUUGCAUUUGCUACCAGCAGUGGCUGUGGCGGCCAAAGCACUUUCCCAGCAGCGACGGUGACUUUUUCUGAUAAAUCUACACAACCUGUCCUUAAAUAACAGCUGUAAAUCUCACACCUGAAAGCUCCUUUAGUUCUCACGGUAGACCGAUAGGUUUAUUGGAUGUAAACGUGAAGGAAAGAACAAGAAAAGAAGCGACCAACAAACUAGGAGGAAACGUAGACGGGAUGAUACAAAGACAUCCUUAUUAAGUUACGUUGUUGCCACAUCCAGGAGCGAGAAAGUGAUUCGGACAGCUGCUGCCCCUCCGCGGAGCGGCUGGCGGGGGCUGAGGAAGGC
ensembl:lncRNA